GUCCAAGUAAUUUAAUUAAAAUACUGGCCUUGUAAGUCAGCAAUGAAGGUAGACUCCUUCCUAGGACA
rnacentral:tRNA from 1 species